rnacentral:rRNA from 1 species
GACGAACGCUGGCGGCGUGCUCAACACAUGCAAGUCGAACGAAGAGCGAUGGAAGCUUGCUUCUAUCAAUCUUAGUGGCGAACGGGUGAGUAACGCGUAAUCAACCUGCCCUUCAGAGGGGGACAACAGUUGGAAACGACUGCUAAUACCGCAUACGAUCUAAUCUCGGCAUCGAGGAUAGAUGAAAGGUGGCCUCUACAUGUAAGCUAUCACUGAAGGAGGGGAUUGCGUCUGAUUAGCUAGUUGGAGGGGUAACGGCCCACCAAGGCGAUGAUCAGUAGCCGGUCUGAGAGGAUGAACGGCCACAUUGGGACUGAGACACGGCCCAGACUCCUACGGGAGGCAGCAAUGGGGAAUCUUCCGCAAUGGACGAAAGUCUGACGGAGCAACGCCGCGUGAGUGAUGACGGCCUUCGGGUUGUAAAGCUCGGUUAAUCGGGACGAAAGGCCUUCUUGCGAAUAGUGAGAAGGAUUGACGGUACCGGAAUAGAAAGCCACGGCUAACUACGUG